AGCAAAAUCAUACAUUGGUGAAGAACAUUGAGCAGAAUCAGACGUCAUGGCAGACUCUCACCCUCAUAUCUGGUCUGAUAAAUGCUGUUUUAGUCAUUGUUAUUAUAGGACUAUUGAAGGGUUGUGUUUGUAGAAAUAAAAUGCCUGCAGAACUUCCACAACAACUUCAAAACACUGAUCUACAGCCGACACAAUUUAUUCAACAGCAUCUAGAUCCACACCAAUCACAGCAUGCUGAGGAGGAUUCUUCUAUGUUGUAUACAAAUAUUCAUCCUGGUCCAGUCAACAGCACUUAUGUUGCUUUACAGCUGCCAAAACCAUAAAAAGAAGCGUACAGCCGAACUUAUUUCACAGCAUUUAAGAACAAACUGAAACUCUUGCGGUUGUCCAAGCACACAUUUAGAUGAUGGAUGUGCAUUGUGGUUUGGUUUGCUUCAGAAAAAGUGUUGCGUCUAGACUGGUGGCCUGCACUUUGAGUUUUUCUCUUUGCCUUUGUGUUAUACUAUAUAUGUAAAUCUUUACAUCUAUGUUAUUUAAUAUCUUUCAGUCACUUUUGAAGUUUCAUGUGAUUGGUAAAAAGGUGGAUGGAGCAAACAUGACUUUCUGUGAUCGACGUGUUUGUUAUUUUGUGACGCUAACAUUUGUAUAUCAGAAUUCCCCUCCCCCCACAUGUGUUUGAUACGUUAUGAUAUAGUACGCAUUAUAGAUUUUAUAGAUUUGAUAGCAUAUUAAGGCCUUUCAGUGACCUUAAAGUGCUAAUUAAAUGAUUUAUAAACUUUUAAGUGUCUUUAAAUCCCCUUAUAUCAUCACACUUCUGCAGAAUGCUUAAAAAAGGUGUGAUAAUUUGCAGAAAUAAACAUAUGGAGGUGGGGACAGCCACACACACAUCUAGAUCUGAGAUAAGCAGAGUAAAACUAGCAAUAUUUGUCAACUGAGAAUAAUAUUUUGUUCUGAACAUGUAGGCUAUACGUUUUCAAAUCACGCUGCUGCUAUGGCUGGAAUUCAGCAAUAAGUCUCAGAAAUCAGCCAGUAAUGUCUAAAAAUGCAAGCUUUGGAUCAGAUUUCUCAUUCUUUUUGACAAUGACUUUAUGUUAAAUUUCCAUUCUGUUUUCAUCAUUAAA